CUCCAAAAAGUUUUGAAUGUGAAUUUAUAUGCCAUGUACAACAAAUAAGCCAUGAAAUGAAUUAAAGAUGAAUUGUAACCAUUGCCUCCAAAAAGUUUUGAAUAUGUAUUAAUAUGCCAUGUACAACAAAUAAGCCAUGGAAUGAACUAAGAAAUGAAUUAAAGAUGAAUUGUAACAAUUUCUCCAUAGAUACAUUGUACCAUAAAUGUGAAUUUUGAUUUAACAUGUAUGAAGAACACCUAUGCCUGAUGUUGAAUAGUAGAUAAACAAAUGCGUACC